GACGAACGCUGGCGGCGUGCUUAACACAUGCAAGUCGAACGGAAAGGCCCUGCUUUUGUGGGGUGCUCGAGUGGCGAACGGGUGAGUAACACGUGAGUAACCUGCCCUUGACUUUGGGAUAACUUCAGGAAACUGGGGCUAAUACCGGAUAGGAGCUCCUGCUGCAUGGUGGGGGUUGGAAAGUUUCGGCGGUUGGGGAUGGACUCGCGGCUUAUCAGCUUGUUGGUGGGGUAGUGGCUUACCAAGGCUUUGACGGGUAGCCGGCCUGAGAGGGUGACCGGGCACAUUGGGACUGAGAUACGGCCCAGAAUCCUACGGGAGGCAGCAGUGGGGAAUAUUGCACAAUGGGCGGAAGCCUGAUGCAGCAACGCCGGGUGCGGGAUGACGGCCUUCGGGGUGUAAACCGCUUUCGCCUGUGACGAAGCGUGAGUGACGGUAAUGGGUAAAGAAGCACCGGCUAACUACGUG
rnacentral:rRNA from 1 species